rnacentral:tRNA from 1 species
CCCCCGGUAGCUCAGAGGUAGUAGCGCCUGUGUGAAGUACAGGAGGUCGUCGGCUCAAAACCGACCUGGGGGGC